rnacentral:rRNA from 1 species
GAUGAACGCUGGCGGCGUGCCUAAUACAUGCAAGUCGAGCGAACGGACGAGGAGCUUGCUUUUCUGACGUUAGCGGCGGACGGGUGAGUAACACGUGGAUAACCUACCUAUAAGACUGGGAUAACUUCGGGAAACCGGAGCUAAUACCGGAUAAUAUUUUGAACCGCAUGGUUCAAUAGUGAAAGACGGUUUUGCUGUCACUUAUAGAUGGAUCCGCGCUGCAUUAGCUAGUUGGUAAGGUAACGGCUUACCAAGGCAACGAUGCAUAGCCGACCUGAGAGGGUGAUCGGCCACACUGGAACUGAGACACGGUCCAGACUCCUACGGGAGGCAGCAGUAGGGAAUCUUCCGCAAUGGGCGAAAGCCUGACGGAGCAACGCCGCGUGAGUGAUGAAGGUCUUCGGAUCGUAAAACUCUGUUAUUAGGGAAGAACAUAUGUGUAAGUAACUGUGCACAUCUUGACGGUACCUAAUCAGAAAGCCACGGCUAACUACGUG